rnacentral:snoRNA from 1 species
AAGCCAUGAUGAGGACACUCUAAGAGAAGAUCCUUAAAACGUUCCAUACACCUAGAAAAUGAUUCAUUUGGUUUUUUGACGAAAUUGGAGAAUGUCGUUCCUAAGUUU